ACACUGAUGGUGAAGUGGUUAUCAUGCUUGCCUUCCAUAUCCGGUUCAUGAUAGCAAGCGGCAGGGGUUCGAUUCCCCUUCAGUGUA